rnacentral:lncRNA from 1 species
GAGAAACACCCACAGGUCCACGUGGAGGAGCUGGUCCCCUUUAUCGUGGCAACAGCAAGAAGUUUCAAGGGGUGAACACGUAGCUCAAGGGGAACGCCAGAGAGCUCCCAAGAUGGCGGCAGGCCGCUCCCAAGAUGGCGGCAAGCCUUUUGUUCUCUGACCUGGGGUUCUUGGCCUCACGGAUUCCAAGGAAUGGAACCUUGGGCCAUGCGGUGAGUGUUAUAGCUCUAUUAGAAGCCAUGGGUCAGGGCAGAGAACCAUGGAACCCAGCGAGUAGUAUUCAGCUUGAUUAGAACGAAUCCGGGCACUUAGCUGUGCAGGAACAACAGUGAGCCUCUAGCCCAAUCGGGAGCAGCAGUGGGCGCCUCACUGGAUCAGAAGCGCAGCAAACACCCUGCCAGAUCGACAGGGGUGGAAGUCAACAGUGGGUCUGCAAUGGCGACGAUCAGCAUCGGGAGCGGCAGUGGGCGCCUCACUGGACCAGAAGCGCAGCGAACACCCUGCCAGAUCGACAGGGGUGGAAGUCAAUGGUGGGUCUGCAAUGGGGACGAUCCGCAGUGGCCGACGGUGAGCGAAAGCUCAGCUCAAGCAGGAACAAACACAGACCAGAAGAGUGUGCAGUUGCAAGAUUUAAUAGAGUGAAGACAGAGCUCCCAUAGAAGGGGAGAGGACCCAAAGGGGGUUGCCGCCACCGGCCUGAAUGCCUGGGUUUAUAUCCUGAUCAUUGUCCCUCCCGCUGUGCUCUCAGGCAAUAAAUGAUUUGAUUAUUUCUUUACCUCCUGCUUUUAGCCUAAGUGGUAUUUUAGUGAGCUCUCUUUACUACCUGAUUGGUUGGGUGUGAACUGAGUUACAAGCCCCAUGUUUAAAGGUGGGUGUAGUCACCUUCCCCAGCUAGGCUUAGGAAUUCUUAGUUGGCCUAGGAAAUCCAGCUAGUCCUGUCUCUCACUGGUGCUGAGGGGUUGGGCUU